UCUGCUCAAUGAUUUUUUAAAUUGCUGUGGUAUUUUGACUAUACAAAGGUAUUGAAAUAAGAUUUUAAUUGAAUGCUAAGAGAAUGGAAGUCCAGAAAAAAACUUUUUUUAAAUUAAAAAUUGAAGUUUUUUUAAUUUGUGCAGAAACAAUUAUUUAUAUUAAAGACAAGAAGACCCUAUGAAUUUAUUAAAUUUUUAUUUAAUAUGUAAUUACUAUUAGAAAAAUUUUGGCUGGGGCGGCUAGAAAAUAUUAUGAACUUUUUAAAAAUAAAAUGAUCCAUUAUUAAUGAUUUUAUGUUAAAUACUCUAGGGAUAACAGCGUAAA
rnacentral:rRNA from 2 species